rnacentral:pre_miRNA from 1 species
UCAUUGAUAUUGGGUAAGGAUCGGGUAAUCUGCAUCCUGAGGUUUAGAGAUCAAUUACUCUGUGUUGUUUCUAGCUCUCAGGUUGCAGAUUACCUCGUGCUCACCGCAAUGCAAGA